AUUGAACGCUGGCGGAAUGCUUUACACAUGCAAGUCGAGCGGCAGCGCGGGGGCAACCCUGGCGGCGAGCGGCGAACGGGUGAGUAACACAUCGGAACGUACCUUUUAGUGGGGGAUAACUAUCCGAAAGGAUAGCUAAUACCGCAUACGCCCUGAGGGGGAAAGGGGGGGAUCGCAAGACCUCUCGCUAAAAGAGCGGCCGAUGUCGGAUUAGCUAGUUGGUGAGGUAAAGGCUCACCAAGGCGACGAUCCGUAGCUGGUCUGAGAGGAUGAUCAGCCACACUGGGGCUGAGACACGGCCCAGAUUCCUACGGGAGGCAGCAGUGGGGAAUUUUGGACAAUGGGGGCAACCCUGAUCCAGCCAUUCCGCGUGAGUGAAGAAGGCCUUCGGGUUGUAAAGCUCUUUCGGCAGGAACGAAACGGUGGGUCCUAAUACGAUCUGCUAAUGACGGUACCUGAAGAAGAAGCUCCGGCUAACUACGUGCCAGCCGCCGCAGUAA
rnacentral:rRNA from 1 species